UUGACCUCGGAUCAGGCAGGGAUACCCGCUGAACUUAAGCAUAUCAAUAAGCGGAGGAAAAGAAACCAACAGGAAUUGCCUCAGUAACGGCGAGUGAAGCGGCAACAGCUCAAAUUUGAAAUCUGGCUCUUUUAGGNUCCGAGUNGUAAUUUGUAGAGGAUGCUUCGGCGUCGGCUCCGGUCUAAGUUCCUUGGAACAGGACGUCAUAGAGCGUGAGAAUCCCGUAUGUGAUCGGUGGCCCUUGCCAUGUGCAAGCUCCUUUCCACGAGUCGAGUGGUUUGGGAAUGCAGCUCUAAAUGGGGA
rnacentral:rRNA from 1 species